UCNGUGAAACAGACUGGUUCCUGCUGCC
rnacentral:piRNA from 1 species